CCUUACGAAAGCAAAGGUGUGCACCAUCUGUCCCAAGAACAAAGGUCUUAAAAAAGGAGAAAGAAAAAAAGAGAAGAAAAAGUAAAGGAUGAAGAGAAAGGGCUCACUAAAAUAAUUCCAAUUAUGCUAGAAUCCAGUGCAUCCUCCAUCGAGUAUGUCUUCCACAUCUCCCAAUGUUAGGAAAUGUGUCCUAAAGUCAAUCGUUGGACGAUUGUGCUCUUUGUAAUUUGUAUAUAAAUUAUAAAUUAAUAAAAAUUAUUUGAUAUUUUUCAUCACAAAGUAUACAUCUUUCUUGAUAGAACUCAUGUGUUGUGAUGAAGUCUUUAGAACUAUAUGAUAAUCGAUAAAGAAAGAUUUAUUGAAUAGUUCUUAAACAUAUUCGCGAUCAAAUGAUACGUCAUUAAAAGACGAUGACAUUUAUUAAGUGUAGAUCAUUGUGUGCCAUAUAAGUUGGUUGUCCUCUUAACCAAAGAGUGUGAGAUACUGAUAUGACAUACAGAUGAGAUAUAAGAGUACAUCAUCACUGAAUAAGUGACUCACUUGCGGAGCAUUCUGCUGUCAAGCGCUGCUCGUGAAGAAUAUGGACAUAAAUAUCUCUUAGACCUGAGAUCACCACGGUGACUUGCAAGCAACUCAUUGUGCUUUGGUGUCGGACUAUC
rnacentral:lncRNA from 1 species